rnacentral:lncRNA from 1 species
CAACGGCACCAGGGAAACAGUAGAAAGGAGAGGAACGUAGAGUCGUUAUGAGUCUGUGAAAUUUGGGAAAUUAAAUGAAAAGUCCACUGUGCCCUCCACUCAGCCUCUCCCUCUUGGAAGGCAGAGCUGCGGGGGGAAAGGCUGAAAUCAGCUUCAUUUCCCUCCAUUCCUGACUCUAACAAUACAGGAGAAUCAAGGUCAGAAAACAUGCAGAGAACACGCUCACAGUAUGGAGUUUCUUCUAAGUAAUACUUUUCUGAUUCAUUUUAUUACAAAAUUAAAUAGUUGAUCCAUUUGAACUCUCAUGAAUAGAUAUUAAAUGUUGCUUAUUAUAAGAAUGCUAAUAAAUCAUUAGUUUUUUUAAUAAAAAAAAUUAACCACCAAAUGGCUAACAAAUUAAAUUUAAAUCAUUAAGUCUGAUAUUCCUAGAGAGGAUCACAGGGGGUGGUACAUUAGAGAACCUGUUUUUAUUUUGUUUGGUUUUAAACACAAAGAGCCCGUGCUGGCUGCUGGCUCGAGCCUCCCUGGCCCCUUUCCAGACAGCAGCGAGCAUCUGUGAGGCAGCUGACCAGGCGGAGCGGCCGUUUGGAGGGUGGCCGGGCUACCUGGGCUACGGGGCCGAGUCCGUGACCUCAGCCUCAUUAGUCCUGGCUCUAACCAGCCGCGCUAAUCAGCGCCAACAUGUGCUGCUCAGGUGUUGAUUGCUCUGUUGCUCAUCACCCCUUCUAGGGCUGCCACACGUAAUUAAAAGCUCUACCGCGAAGAUGGCCAAUCAGC